rnacentral:rRNA from 1 species
UACGGGGGGAGCAAGCGUUGUUCGGAUUUACUGGGCGUAAAGGGCGCGUAGGCGGUCGUGACAAGUCACUUGUGAAAUCUCUGAGCUUAACUCAGAACGGCCAAGUGAUACUGCAGUGCUAGAGUGUGGAAGGGGCAAUCGGAAUUCUUGGUGUAGCGGUGAAAUGCGUAGAUAUCAAGAGGAACACCUGAGGUGAAGACGGGUUGCUGGGCCAACACUGACGCUGAUGCGCGAAAGCCAGGGGAGCAAACGGG